UUCAUAUUUCAUUUCUCCUAGGCUGCCGUCUUUAUGUGUGUUUGCUGCUGCAUCAGUCUCCUCAGUCAAGCUGAUGUUCUGAAGGUUUUCUGGGGAAGAGAGAUUAUUUUCCAGACCAGGUUAGGUAGGUCAGGAAAACCCACUGAGUAAGCUGAAUUUAGACUAGCAGAAAAACAGUUUAUUAUACUCAGGGAGUACAUUAAGAUAAAUCUUUCAAAACACCCCCUUCCAAAUAUAAGCGUAGUCUGCUUUAGGAGAUGCUGUUGACAUAAAUCAGCCAGUUUAGCUGCUAGUAAAGGCUCUGUAGUGUAGACAAGUGCUCCUGAGUGAAGCUGACUGAAGUGCCGGUGGUUUGACUCAAUUGCCAUACGUCAGUUAGUCAUGUUGAAUAUGCCCGGGCUGCAUCAUCCCCCUUGAUGGACAGCAAUUGGAGAUGCUUUGGAGUACGUGGGGGUUGCCCAAGAGGCUGCAGAUGACUGGAGACAGCCUUGAGCUCUCAGAAUAAGUCAACCUUUUGAAGAAGUUCAACCCCCUAGCUGUGUUCCAGACAAUCCAGCUACCUCUACCCUCAUAGAAUUGUAGAAUCAUAGAAUCGUUAAAGUUGGAAAAGACCCUUAAGAUCAUCAAGUCCAACCGCUGACCUAUCACUGCCAAGUCCACCACUAAACCAUAUCCUCAAGCACCACAUCUACCUUUCUUUUAAAUACCUCCAGGGAUGGAGACUCAACCACCUCCCUGGGCAGCCUGUUCCAAUGUUUGACAACCCUUUUGGUGAAGAAGUUUUUCCUAGUAUCCAACCUAAACUUCCCCUGGCGCAGCUUGAGGCUGUUUCCUCUCGUCCUAUCACUUGUUAUUAAGGAGAAGAGACCGACCCCUGCCUCACUACAGCCUCCUUUCAGGUAGUUGUAGAGAGCAAUAAGGUCUCCCCUCAGCCUCCUCUUCUCCAGACUAAACAACCCCAGCUCCCUCAGCCGCUCCUCAUAAGACUUGUUCUCUAGACCCUUCACCAACUUCGUUGCCCUUCUAUGGACAUGCUCCAGCAUCUCGAUGUCCUCCUUGUAGUGAGGGGCCCAAAACUGCACACAGUACUCAAGGUGCGGCCUCACCAGUGCCGAGUAUAGGGGCACGAUCACCUCCCUGCUCCUGCUGGCCACACUAUUCCUGAUACAAGCCAGGAUGCUGUUGGCCUUCUUGGCCACCUGGGCACACUGUUGGCUCCUGUUCAGCCGGCUGUCAACCAACACCCCCAGGUCCUUUUCCUCCAGGCAGCUCUCCAGCCACUCCUCCCCAAGCCCGUAACGUUGCAUGGGGUUGUUGUGACCCAAGUGCAGGACUCGGCACUGAGCCUUUUUGAAUCUCAUACCGUUGGCUCCGGCCCCAUGACCCAGCCUGUCCAGGUCCCUCUGUGGGGCCUUCCUGCCCUUCAGCAGAUCGACACUUCCACCCAGCUUGGUGUCAUCUGCUCAUGUAGGAGCUGAGCCUCUUCCCAGGGUAGCAUAGCACAGCCACUGCCCUGGGCAGCCCCAGGCCUUGGUGCCAGGCACCAGCAAGGCACGUGUCUGCCAAGGGAGAGGGAAUGGCACAAAAUGGUCACAGCCCUCUGACAGGUCCUGGUGCUCAUCAUGGUUGUGAAGGGGUCCUGGCUCAGCUGCUGGAAAAAAGAGUAUUAUCAGAGAAAGUUCCUCUGUACUUUGGAAAUCAUUGCUAAAGCUAACAGGGAGUAAAUGGCAUCUCAAAACGUACCUCUUCCACCAUGAGAAACAGUGGCAGCCACAGCCUGGUAAGAGGGACAAGUAGGUGAAUCCCUGCGGACAGGACCUUGGACGAGCCAGAGAGAGUGGGGGAAGAGGAGAGACCAGGAGAAGGUAAUGAGAGAGCCUCUACACUGACCCACUUCUCCUUUUUUCAGUCAUGUGACAAUGACAUUCAUUAGGAAACAUGAAUUGAUGGCAUUUCCUGGGGAGCUGUUGCGUUCUCCAUGAGGCCUCGUAUUUCUCAACCUGCUUCUCCCCACUCCUGCUCUUGUACGCACUGAGGCCUGUGGUGGUGGAGCGAACAAGCACUCGCCCUGCUGGUCUUUUCCUCCCUGGCCAUAGGCUGACCCCUGAGGUUAUCUGACAAGCCUUUCGUCAGACGUCAGCAGGAGCAAGGAUUGGCAGGAAGACAGUGCUGUAAUACGGGAAGUCAUUGCACUCACGCAUCUUGCCCAGCAAAGGUGGAGAAGGUGGCCCUGGCCUUUACGGCAUUUCAAAGGCAUACACUGUUUCAGCGCUGCCUGGAAGCCUAAGAGGUGUUGCUGUCAUAAAACUGCCAGCAGCAACAGGGUGUUUGCUUCACCUGACCUCUGCCACAUCGUCUUGCCUCGCCUGCAAGGGGAGAGGCUUUAUUCCUGCUCUCAGGAGGCACAAUUUUCUUCUGGCUCAACAGCUUCCCAGGAAAGGCUGAUUUAUGCUGACCCCAGCUGUGCGCAGUGGAGAGUGGAUGCUAUCUGGUCUGGAGACUUCCAUCGCAAGCUCAGCUCCUCACUUCAAUACAGAGUGUAGCAAGAGCUUUGGCCGCAGGGAUUUUGCAGCGAGGAACUGAGUUACCAGCACGGGCUCCAAACCCGGCUGUCUCAUCUGGACAUGGUGGGCCAUGGUGAAAUGUCACACAGGACAUUUUGUAGUAGAUAGAUGGGUUGUCCUCCUUGGGCACCUUCCAAAAUGAGGCCACCCCAGGCAGAGCAGGCACAUGGGUGCUAGCUUUGAAGGUGGGCAACAGUCCCGCAGAAGAAGGGAAACCAUAGCCAGGAGCAUUGAUUUCAACAGCAGAUUGCACAAAGCUGGCAGGGAAAAAGGAUCGAGCCCCUCUGGAGCCAUCAGCUCACUUCUAACACCCUGUGGACGAGCAACCACCAGAGGAAGAGGCUGCAGUGCUCCCAGUCCCCACAGCUCCCACCACUUUGUGGGUGGGUAGAAAUGCCACCCAACUUGAUGCCACCUCCAGGAGCCCCGGGGUCCCCAGCAGAGCCCAGCAGUGGCUGCAGCCGCCAGCCCCGUGGUGCCUCAGGACCGUCCGUGCAGGUCACACCCUCACCCGGCACUAGGGCCCUGCGGGGUUUGGUGUGGCUGCUGAGGCUGCUGGAAAAUGAAAUUUCAGUCCUGCUGGCAGCCUUCCAAUUUCAACAUUUUUCUUUCUUCCUUGAAAGAAGGCAAAGGGGGAAGUGAGGCCUAGGGGGGUCAAAACAGAGGCAGGAGGAGCUUGAACCAACGGGUUCUGACACUCCGUUUUUGCUCAAAUUUCUCAGAAAUGCUUGUUUGGGAAUGGGGCAUUUAAAAAUGUUCUACUUAGAUGGAAAAUGCUUUAUCUAGUAUUAAUAGUUAACCUUCUUCUUGUCUGAGACGCCUAAAAAAGUUUCACUUGGCUUCCUUCCACACAGCUGACUGACGACCCCAUUCCAGCCCUGUGGCUGCGUGCUGGCUGCGCUGCCUCCCAUCAUGGGCGCUGUGUGGGGGGCAUGGGCUCACCCCUCUGCGGCCCAGGACAGCAGCCAGGGUCCCUGCGGGUGGUCCUGCUUCCCCCGCUGGGGAGCUGACAGGAUGAGUGCUGACAGGGGCAUGAGGGCAGCGCAGAGCUCGCUGCUGCCUCCGCUCGCCAUCCAGCUGAGUGUUUUGGCUAUAUGGUCUGCAAAGCGAAGGGGGACUUUUGUUAAAGGCCACUGACAUUUCCAUUGAUUGUAGUCACUGCAGACUGCUCCAUCUCGACCUCCAUCUCUAUCUCUAAGUCAAGUCCCUUCCUUCCUUCCAGGAAAACAGCCAUGUCCUCUGCUUCCUUUCAGUGCUGCCCCUCAGGGAUGGGGUCGCAAACUGUUCCUCUGGUUGCAUGUCCUCAGCUUGCUUGUGGCCCUCCUCUCACAGCCCCAUCUGGCGGGGUUCAGAGAAAUCUCCAGCUAGUGAUGGGCAGCACACCAAUCUCUUCUAGCCAUGAACCAUCACAUCAGCAGGGCACCCAGACGGGUAGGGGGACCGACCAGGCUUGGGAAGCAUCUGAGCCAUGUGUGCAAGCGCGGUGUGGUCCCUGCUGAUGGGAAGAAUAAAGGACUUUCUGCAAUUACCCCACGCGUUCCAUUUGGGAAGCCAGGAUUUCGAAGCAGCAAUCAAGCCUUAAUUGAUUAAAUGCUCACCGCAUUCCCGGGACUGAGCUGCUGUCGCGAAUAAGUCACAGGAAAUUAGCAAUUUGUCUGAGGUGCUUCUGUAUGUUGGCAAUGUCUGGACUCAGGUCCUCCGGCCUUGUUAUUCAUUAGACCACACAAUCCUCUAUCCUCGCCAGGUGGCAUCCCAACAGCACUGCCAGGGUGAAAAGAGCAAAAUAAUAUAACUUCACGUUUAUCUAGGAAAAAGUUUCCCACAGUCCCUUCUGGAUCUUUUUGUUUUGAUUCUGAGGUUUUGUUUUUCUGAAAAGUUAAAAUAAAUCUCGAACUGCAACUGUG